UACGAAGGGGGCUAGCGUUGUUCGGAUUUACUGGGCGUAAAGCGCGCGUAGGCGGGUCACUAAGUCAGGGGUGAAAUCCCGAGGCUUAACCUCGGAACUGCCUUUGAUACUGGUGACCUGGAGAUCGGGAGAGGUCGGUGGAAUUCCGAGUGUAGAGGUGAAAUUCGUAGAUAUUCGGAGGAACACCAGAAGCGAAGGCGGCCAACUGGCCCGAUACUGACGCUGAGGCGCGAAAGCGUGGGGAGCAAACAGG
rnacentral:rRNA from 1 species